UACGUAGGUGGCAAGCGUUGUCCGGAUUUAUUGGGUUUAAAGGGUGCGUAGGCGGUUGUAUAAGUCAGUUCUGAAAUAUCCCGGCUUAACCGGGAGGGUGGCAUUGAUACUGUAUAACUUGAGUAAAGUUGAGGUUGGCGGAAUUGACGGUGUAGCGGUGAAAUGCUUAGAUAUCGUCAAGAACACCUAUUGCGAAGGCAGCUAACUAAGCUUUAACUGACGCUGAGGCACGAAAGUGUGGGGAUCAAACAGG
rnacentral:rRNA from 1 species